CCUACGGGAGGCAGCAGUAGGUAAUAUUGGACAAUGGGCGCAAGCCUGAUCCAGCCAUGCCGCGUGAGUGAAGAAGGCCCUCGGGUUGUAAAGCUCUUUUGUCCGGAAAGAAAAGCAUUCGGUUAAUACCCSGGUUGUUCUGACAGUACCGGAAGAAUAAGCACCGGCUAACUUCGUGCCAGCAGCCGCGGUAAUACGAAGGGUGCAAGCGUUACUCGGAAUUACUGGGCGUAAAGCGUGCGUAGGUGGUUCGUUAAGUCUGAUGUGAAAGCCCUGGGCUCAACCUGGGAAUGGCAUUGGAUACUGGCGGGCUAGAGUGCGGUAGAGGGUAGUGGAAUUCCCGGUGUAGCAKUGAAAUGCGUAGAGAUCGGGAGGAACAUCUGUGGCGAAGGCGACUGCCUGGACCAGCACUGACACUGAGGCACGAAAGCGUGGGGAGCAAACAGGAUUAGAUACCCUGGCAGUCCACGCCCUAAACSAUGCGAACUGGAUGUUGGGUUCAACUUGGAACUCAGUAUCGAAGCUAACGCGUUAAGUUCGCCGCCUGGGGAGUACGGCCCCAAGACUGAAACUCAAAGGAAUUGACGG
rnacentral:rRNA from 1 species